AUGGAGCGGCAGACGAGGUCAUCCCGGAGCAGCAUGGCCACCUCAAGGUCGGGCUUCUUGGCUGCCACCUGCGCCGCCAUCGCCGUUCCGAACGAGCCCCCACCGAGGACCACCACCUGCAGUUUUCCUCCGACGAUCAGAUCCCAUCCCACAAAAAAGUUUGCGGCUCCAUGGGUUGAAGCAGACAAGAGUCUUUCCGUCACCUUGCGCGUGGUCUCGAGGACGUCGCUGCGGUUGCGGCUGCGCCAGGAGCGAGACCAGCGGACGAGCUUCUCCCACGCGAUCCGCACCACGCGGCGCCGGUCCUUCCGGCCGCUGCGUGGGGCCUCUCCCUCGUCCGUCUCGGCAUCUGGCGGCGGUACGUCGGAGGCGGCAGCGCAGAUGGGUGAGGCACGGUGGCGAGCGGUGGUGGUGCGAGGGCGAAAGAUUGGGGCGGGGGGAAGGAAGGCGGCGGCGGCGGCCAUGAGAGCGAGCAGCAAAGGGGGGAACGGAAGAAUGGGGGUGUUUUGCUAUCUUAUCCGUUCCCGCCCCUUUUCUCGGUUUCUUGUUUGUCGCUCUGCUUCGUCUCAAAACGCCCGCUCGCAUCUCGACCAGCUUUUGCCUAAACCAACUCCAAUCCUUUUACCAAUUAACAUCUUAGAAGAUUUCACAAAAUCGUUAUCACUUAGCUUUCGACUUUUCGGGAAUAUAUUGACGGAUGAACUAGUUAUUGUUGUUGUUGUUGUUGUUUCUUUAGUUCCCUUAGUCAUCCCUAUACAUGUUUCUUGGAUUAUUUACAGGCGGUAUUCAAGCUCUUAUUUUUGCAACAUUAGUUUCAGCCUAUAUAGGUGA
rnacentral:rRNA from 1 species